UUUUUUUCUAAUUAUAAAUUGAAUAUGUACUGCCUUGAUAAUGGUUAUAUAAUAAUUCUGAUAUUUUAUUAAUGACUUGAACUUUGAUAGUGAUGGCACGGGUGUGCAAGUAAAGAAAAAGGUCCAUAUGGGUUCAUCAGAACAUGGAAAACCUAAAAUGGGAAGAUGGAGGUGGAGGGAUGGUUAUACAGCCAAGGCCUCGGGAGUUCCCUGAGAUCAGAGCAGAGCAAGGAACAGCAUGCCAGUGGAGCAGACAGGAAGUGAGGGCUUCUCUAGGAGCAAUUGAAGCAGGGCAGGAGAAAGUCCAGAACUUUAGAAGUCAGAGAAACAGAUUGUGUCUUUGAUUGCUGCCAACAUGUUUUCUUACUGUUACUGUUACUCCUCUAUUGGAUUAUCUAUUCACAUCAUAAAACUUGCCUUUGUUGUUAUAGUGUUUAUGUACUCAUUCAUUUCACAAAUACUUAUUGAGCACCUGUUAUGGACUCAAUGUUGUAACCAAAGGGAUGCAGCAUUAAAUGCAACAGAAAAAAGCCCCUAACAGAGAAGACAGUUAACAGUUACAAAGAAAUAAAAGGGGGGGCUCAGACAUUGAAAGUGUCUGGGAGAAGGGGGAACCUCUUUCUCAUAGAGCAGGUCAGAAGAGACAUGUCUGAUAAGGUGCCAUUUGAGCAGAACCUGGAUGAAGUAAGGAGGUGAAACAUUCCAAUCUCUGGGGAAAGCUUUGCCUGACAGAGAGAAGAGAAAGUAGAGAGGUCCUAAGACCUGAGCCUACUGGAUGUGUUGGAAAAAAAAGAAUAAUCCAGUGUGGCUGGAGUAAGUGAGGGAGUAGGGGCAAGAGAUGUGGUUUCAGAGAAAGCUGGAAGCUGGAUCCCACAGGCUCUCACAGGCCAAGCUAAGAAUCUGGGAUUGUGUUGCCAAUACAAGGGAGGUACCUGGAUUUGCAAUGAUGGGCAUUUUAAAGGAAUCACAAGUUGCCGUUUGGAGAAUAGAUUGAUGGCAAAAGUGAAAGCUAGGAGACCCAUCAAAGGUUAUUGCAAUAGUCUCGGGCAGAGGUGUUGGGCGUGUGGAAUAAGAGGAGGUGAUGGAGCCAGUGAACAGCCUUCAGCUUCUGGAUGACUUCCCAGGCUACAGCUAACAGGAUUUGCUGAUGGAUUAAAGGUGGCACGCAGAGAAAAGGAGGAAUCCAGGAUGACUCCUAGUUUCUCAGCUAGGGACAUCUUAGUGCCUAUUUUUUUAAAGAUUUUAUUUAUUCAUGAGAGUCACAGAGAGAGACAGAGACACAGGCAGAGGGAGAAGUAGGCUCCCUAUGGGGAGCCCAAUGCGGAACUUGAUCCCAGGACCCCGGGAUCACGACCUGAGCCAAAGGCAGAUGCUCAAUCAUUGAGCCACCCAGGGGCCUGGGCUCAAGCCCCACAUCAGGCUCCCUGCUCAGCAGGAAGAAGAAGAAGCCUGCUUCUUCCUCUGCCUCUCCCCCAGCUUGUGUUCUGGCUCUUGCUCUCUCUCUCAAAUAAAUAAAUAAACAAAAUAUUUUUUUAAAAAAAGAACUGCUUCAAUUAACCACAUCAAAUGCUACCAAAAUGUCUAGGAAGAUGAAGACAAAGAAUUGAUCUGCUCUGGUGCUUGGUGAACACCUACUUAAAUACCUCAGGUGGAGAGGCACCACGUAGAGCAAUCCCAGCCACCCUCUCUCCCUGCACUACUCCAAAAUGGUAUUGACAGGCUUUAGAUCUGUCAUUACAUAGGUAAGGACCCACCAGCUAGUAACAGAAGUUCCACAAGUUGUUAAAUUCCUUGUUUGAGAUGCACGGCCAGGUAUUCCUGAGGUCAUUCUGAGGAUGGAUAGCAAACUCGAAGGUUGAGGCAUGGGGUCUGGUGCAGUGUGAUCACUCUAAUGUAGCUAUUACAGUGACCCUCAUGGGCCCCACUUAAUUUUAGGCUCUCAUUUCAGGCUAUUGUUUAGCACUGUUAGAAAGAUAAGCAGUAAGUUUUCUGGAAAUGAUUGGAAGUAGUCACAACAUCAUAGAGCUGAAAAGACUGUAGAGAUUAAUUACUCCAUUCUCUUCACUGACAGGUAGGAAAACAUGCAGCAAGAUAAGGUGACUUUCUCCAGAUCACCCACACCCACUAAAUUAGGAGCAGAACACAGGUCUCCCCAUGCUGCAUCCCUUAGAAUUAGUGACAGAAGAACUCACAGGGAGAGAUUGAACAUCCCAUGUCAGGGGAUCUAUUUCAGAUAACUGAAGCUUGUUCCUUUUAACUACCAAAACUUAAGAGCAAUCAUUAGGACCAUCAUUAUCACUCUUGAUUAAAAUCUUCUACUGCUUUGAUGAAAACACUUUUCCCACACAAUGGAUUUAUUUUAGUCUAGAAGAUUUGAAAUUCUUGAAGUCAGCUUUUCUCGUUACCUUAUUUCUUUGCCAGCUGCUUUAAGUUUUGAGCAGUCCCUUUAACUUACAAAGCAAGUGGCAACUUCAUAUGAUAAGUGUUACACAAUAUUGUCAAAGUGAUCACUUGAUAUUUUCUGAAAAGACAGAAAUCUAAGGAGUUAAGAACAGCAACAAGUACAUGAUUCUGCCUCUAAGAACAUCCAUAACUAUAAGAGUACUUUUAUUCAUAUUAUAUAUACAUGUAGAGUUGUAAAUGUAUUUUUCAGAUUUCAGUGCAUAGCACCGACCUGAAACGCAUGGAGAAAUUAAUCUUAAAUGAGUCUGUAUUACCUCUCCUUCAACUUUUCAUAGUAUAUAUGGAGUUCAUAUAUAUAUUUAGUUAUUGAAAUAAUUUUUAUCUCUGUAACAUUUUUCCAUAGAGAAAUUCCAAACAUCAUUUUAUUAAACACCCAAAUACUCCUAUAAGAGACGAAGAAUCAGAUUUGUUAUUCCUAUUCUAGAAAUAAGAAAACUAACAUCCCAAAAUGUUAAAAUGCCCAGAGGACUUAUAUGAACCAUAACAAUGUCCCUUUAUCUUUUCUCCUUGCUGGGCAAUCUUUGAGUAUCUUCUAGAAAUCUGAAUUUAGCCCUUGGCAUUUUCAACUGUUCCGGGAAUGGACCUUGUGAGAAAACAAAGCUCACUGAUUCCGGGUGCUCACAAAUCCACUCUCGACAUUUCCUAUCACUGGUGACCACAGGCUCAGCCUCUGCUUGCCUUUAAGGUCACGUGGUCUUCAUUGCUACAACAACCAGGAAUCUAUCGCAUUUCACCAUUAAAAAUAGUCACUUACAUUUUAUCCAAUCUUGUUAGAGCAACUAAGCUGUGCAUCUCCAGAGUGAAGUAGCAAAUAACAGAUCAGCAAAGCAUUCCUUCUUUCCCUACCUAGAUUUUGGUGCCUGUGAGUGACUAGAGGUAUUGUUGGAGCUGUGUGUGUGGAAUGUCCUGGAGGAAAAGGCUGGUUGGGAGGAAUGAGAUUAAAGUAAGGCAUAUGAAAAAAUAAAUAAAUAAAUACAUAAAUAAAUAUUUAAAAAAAUAAAGUAAGGAAUAUGAAGAGCCUACCAAAAGUUCUUGCUCAAAGAAUAUGUUCAGGGAUCCCUGGGUGGCGCAGCGGUUUAUCGCCUGCCUUUGGCCCAGGGUGCGAUCCUGGAGAUCCGGGAUCGAAUCCCACGUCAGGCUCCCGGUGCAUGGAGCCUGCUUCUCCCUCUGCCUGUGUGUCUGCCUCUCUCUCUCACUGUGUGCCUAUCAUAAAAAAAAAAAAAAAAAAAAAAAAAAAAA
rnacentral:lncRNA from 1 species